UUGAACGCUGGCGGCAUGCCUUACACAUGCAAGUCGAACGGUAACAGGUCUUCGGAUGCUGACGAGUGGCGAACGGGUGAGUAAUACAUCGGAACGUGCCCGAUCGUGGGGGAUAACGGAGCGAAAGCUUUGCUAAUACCGCAUACGAUCUACGGAUGAAAGCGGGGGACUCGCAAGAGCCUCGCGCUACUGGGGCGGCCGAUGUCAGAUUAGGUAGUUGGUGGGGUAAAAGCCUACCAAGCCGACGAUCUGUAGCUGGUCUGAGAGGACGACCAGCCACACUGGGACUGAGACACGGCCCAGACUCCUACGGGAGGCAGCAGUGGGGAAUUUUGGACAAUGGGCGAAAGCCUGAUCCAGCCAUGCCGCGUGCGGGAAGAAGGCCUUCGGGUUGUAAACCGCUUUUGUCAGGGAAGAAAUCUUCUGAGCUAAUACCUCGGGAGGAUGACGGUACCUGAAGAAUAAGCACCGGCUAACUACGU
rnacentral:rRNA from 1 species